UCCUUGUUUCAAGGGGAAAAAUAUCACUGGAUCAAUAGAGAGAAGAUUUGAAUGGCCCCAACAUAAAGAUGUCAUACAAAUCUGUGAAGUGUUCCCCUUUUUU